GACGAACGCUGGCGGCGUGCUUAACACAUGCAAGUCGAACGGACUACUUUGCUUCGGUAAGGUGGUAGUGGCGAACGGGUGAGUAACGCGUAGACAACCUACCUCUUAGAUGGGGACAACAUCGCGAAAGCGGUGCUAAUACCGAAUGAAGUGACUUUCCUGCAUGGGAGAGAUACUAAAGGUGGCCUCUAUUUAUAAGCUACCACUGAGAUGGGUCUGCGUCUGAUUAGCUAGUUGGCGGGGUAACGGCCCACCAAGGCGACGAUCAGUAGCCGGUCUGGGAGGAUGAACGGCAACAUUGGGACUGAGACACGGCCCAAACUCCUACGGGAGGCAGCGGUGGGGAAUCUGCCGCAAUGGACGAAAGUCUGACGGAGCAACGCCGCGUGAGUGAAGAAGGUUUUCGGAUCGUAAAGCUCUGUUGUUUGAGACGAAUGUGCCUGUUUCGAAUAGGGAUAGGUAAUGACGGUAUUAAACGAGAAAGCCACGGCUAACUACGUGCCAGCAGCCGCCGUAA
rnacentral:rRNA from 1 species